rnacentral:lncRNA from 1 species
GGACGCCACUCUACAGAUAGAGCGACUAGAUCUGCAGGAUUGGACGUUAUGACGAAACGCCUAAUUUCGUCUGAUACUCACAAAGAUGUGUCAUAUCGCCAAAUCGGAAGACAACCAACUACUAACUCUUGUUAUACUUCGAUCUAUCUUCGAUCGUCAUCGCCGUCUAACUACGUUGGAGAAAACAGUUCCCAUUAUCGAUACAGCAGUAAUAGAACAUUCUACAGAACACAACAAUGUCGUCCGAGAC